rnacentral:rRNA from 1 species
UCAGAACGAACGCUGGCGGCAUGCCUAACACAUGCAAGUCGAACGAAGGCUUCGGCCUUAGUGGCGCACGGGUGCGUAACGCGUGGGAAUCUGCCCUUAGGUUCGGAAUAACAGCUGGAAACGGCUGCUAAUACCGGAUGAUGACGAAAGUCCAAAGAUUUAUCGCCUGAGGAUGAGCCCGCGUUGGAUUAGGUAGUUGGUGGGGUAAAGGCCUACCAAGCCGACGAUCCAUAGCUGGUCUGAGAGGAUGAUCAGCCACACUGGGACUGAGACACGGCCCAGACUCCUACGGGAGGCAGCAGUGGGGAAUAUUGGACAAUGGGCGAAAGCCUGAUCCAGCAAUGCCGCGUGAGUGAUGAAGGCCCUAGGGUUGUAAAGCUCUUUUACCCGGGAAGAUAAUGACUGUACCGGGAGAAUAAGCCCCGGCUAACUCCGUGCCAGCAGCCGCGGUAAUACGGAGGGGGCUAGCGUUGUUCGGAAUUACUGGGCGUAAAGCGCACGUAGGCGGCUUUGUAAGUCAGAGGUGAAAGCCUGGAGCUCAACUCCAGAACUGCCUUUGAGACUGCAUCGCUUGAAUCCAGGAGAGGUCAGUGGAAUUCCGAGUGUAGAGGUGAAAUUCGUAGAUAUUCGGAAGAACACCAGUGGCGAAGGCGGC